UCUGCUGCUAAUUUGGCCACGCCUCAAGCUUGUAGAAUCUUUGCCCACGCCCCACUGACUGUUACCACUACUACUACGUUAACUUUUACAUGGACAGGGCGGCUGUAGUUCAACCAUACAUGUUUGAACCAGAAUCGGAUCCUGAAGGAGGGGAGUCUCCUGCAGAACCCGAGACUCAGAGAAUUCAGCAAGACGCUUCUGAAUGGUGCACAUGUGGAAAUUGUGCAACAAUGCCGUCAGAGUCUGAGAACUUGUGCUACCAGGAGGUACCACAGGUUACAAGAUGACUGCAGCAGCUGGAAGAAAGACCAUCCAGGUUUAGAACCCGUUUGCCGAAAUGUGUUCUCACUGCAGAAUGCAUGCAACAUUUACAGAGCUGACUACGGUCCUUUACAGCUACGGGGAAUAGAGCAUCGUUACAGGUAUUUGGCCUACAGAAGUUUUGUGAGCUGGUGCUGGGGCUUCCUUGGUCGAAAAAUACGGGUAGUGAUCCCCUCAUGUGUCGUACUUCGGAUUUCCAGACGCCCAGGGAAGAUACGU